CAAACCCCCAGGGGCAACAUGUAUCCACAUGAAAUAUUUUUCCUAUUACUUUAAUUUAGCCUCCCUGCCUUUCUAAUUUCCUUGUUUACUGUCCUAAAGAGAAAGCAAUAUCCCCUUGAGUUUGAGCAUACAACAUGUCAAGAAACUACAGACAAGAACAAACCCAGGAAAUUAAGAAGAUAGCCCAGUAAAAUGCUGGAAUACAGAUGUGUUGCUGACCAGCAAGCUCUGACCUUGUAUGAACAAAUACAGUAUCUAAAGGGAUGGCAGAGCAACCCAGUCAAAGGAACUGACUUCCUGAAUGAGCCUGCAUUCUAGAGCCACCCCAGCUCUGGAAUGCUCAUACCUAACUGUUCCCUGGAGAAAUGCCAACUUCUCUCUUGUUUGAAACACUGCAUUUUGGAUUUUCUUUUUAAUCAGUAUGAUCUGUAUUCUAACCAACACAAUGAGUUUCAGUCUCUUCUUCCCACUCUGCACACCACUGGUUCUAUUUGAAGACCUUCUUAAUAAGAUGAAUAGAUUCCUAGUGAAGCACACUCUUUCUACUAAAUAUAAGAUUCACUUUGUCUCAUACUGGGUGCUCUGCAGCCAGACUGCUUGAGUUUGUGUCUCAGGUGUCCUUUUACUUUCUAUAUGUGACCUUGACAAUGUUAGUCAACCUCUCUGUGUCUCAUGUUUCUCAUUUGUAAAAUGGAGAUUAAAAUAGUUUCUUCCUUCUCAGGUUGUUGGGAGAUUAGAUGAGAAUCUUAGUCUGUUCAGGUAUAACAAAAUAAUAUCAACUGGGUGGCUUAUAAACAGUAGAAAUUUAUUUCUCAUAGAUCUGUAGGCUGUAAGUCCAAGAUUAAGACACCAGCAGAUUCAGUAUCUGGUAAAGACUGGCUUUCUGGAUCACAAACGACAAUCAUCUCACUGCAUUUUCACAUGCUGGAAGAGCUGAGUAAGCUCUCUGAGGUCUCUUUCCUAAGGGCACUAAUCCCAUUCAUGAGGGCUUUACCACCAUGACAUAAUCACCUCCAAGAAUCCCACCUCCAAAUGCUAUCACAUUAGACAUUAAGAAUUAGCAUGAAUUUUGGGGGAAACAAACAUUCUGUCUAUACAUGCACAAGACCAAGAACAAUAUCUGGCAAAAGUAGGCUAUCAAUAAAUUUCAAAUUUUUUAUUA